rnacentral:rRNA from 1 species
UGGGGAAUAUUGCGCAAUGGGCGAAAGCCUGACGCAGCCAUGCCGCGUGUGUGAAGAGGGCCUUCGGGUUGUAAAGCACUUUCACUUGGGAAGAAAGGUUGCUGGUUAAUAGCCAGUAGCUGUGACAUUACCUUGAGAAGAAGCACCGGCUAACUCCGUGCCGGCAGCCGCGGUAAUACGGAGGGUGCAAGCGUUAAUCGGAAUUACUGGGUGUAAAGCGCGCGUAGGCGGUUUGUUAAGUCGGAUGUGAAAGCCCCGGGCUCAACCUGGGAACUGCACCCGAUACUGGCCGACUAGAGUACGAGAGAGGGAGGUAGAAUUCCACGUGUAGCGGUGAAAUGCGUAGAUAUGUGGAGGAAUACCGGUGGCGAAGGCGACCUCCUGGCUCGAUACUGACGCUGAGGUGCGAAAGCGUGGGGAGCAA